GAAAUCCUGCCUGAAAUGGUUGAAGCCCAACCAUCAGUAGCGAGUCUUGGACUGAACAAAGCAAUUUGUGCGGUUUAGCGUAGACAGUUAGGAUGUAGGCCUGAAUGUGAUUGAGCCUCGAAAUGAGUAAAACGGAUAGGCUGACGAUGUCGAAGUAUCGGAAAGCAACACCGUACUUUUAUCAAUAGUGGCGAGAUGAGUGCGGCUAUCCCGGGGAUGAAGAGCC
rnacentral:ncRNA from 1 species